UUAUAUCAUCUUUUGUAUUUAAUGAAUUGAGAUGUAAAGGAAAGAAUGUAAACUUCUAUUUUGGAAAAAAUGUGAUGUAAAAGGAAAUGAUGAAAAGCAUGUAUACGUAAAAGAAUCGUGAAUGUAAAAGUUGAAUGCAAUGUAUGUGAUCAAAAAUGAAUCAUAGUAUUUGUGUAGAUGCUUAGCUUCCAUUCUUUCACUCUUGGCUAUUGCUUACCCUCGUGUAAGCCAUUGUGUAUGUUUCCGCUUGUGCAUUCUCUUUGUUUGAAUUGUACAUGUGUUGAGCCUUGGGCGGACAGGGGAGACUCUGUCCGUUCGGCGUCUGUUCGACGUGCCCGGGCCGGCCAAAGGGAUCGGUCCUAGGGCGUGACAAUGUGACCUUUUCGUCCACCAGUAAACAAUCUAAACUAAAUAUAUCUUCUUUAAGAAAAGGAGCAGGCGGUUCCCAGAAUCGACAUAUUCGAACUUUAAUCUUGCAAUUUUGACGUUGCAAUGAUAAUUCAGAUAAUAGUACGUACUCCAUUGCAAUUUUGUAGGUUUGUUAUAUAUAUAUAUACAUAAAAAAACAUGGUGAGAAAAGGACAACUUAGUAAAGAAAAAUUAUUAUAUAAAAUAGCUGAAUAUUUCGGAACACAAAAAACUCACAAUAAACAACCAACCAUUAUAGAUCAUCAAAUAUUUCACAAUAAACAACAUUUCUUGUAUGACCUUGAGGUUCUCGAACUUUUUUAUAAACUAACCCUCUAACAUUUUAUAAUUUGCAAAAUAAUCCUGCCAAAUUUAUAUUUGGCAAACUAACCCUCUUUUCGUCACGUAGGAGCCACGUGGGAUUUUUUUCGAAAAGCGGUGAAUCGUUCACCGCUUUCACAAUUUCUUUUAAAGGCGGUGAAUCGUUCACCGCUUUCUCCAAUUUCUUUUAAAGGCACUGAAUCAUUCACCGUCUUCUCUCAUUUAUUUUAAAUGUGGUAAAUCGUUCACCGUUUUCUCUCAUUUAUUUUAAAUUUGAUAAAUCGUUCACCACUUUCUCUCAUUUCUUUUAAAGACAUUGAAUCGUUCGCUGCAUUCAUUAAAAUUGUGUGGAUUAUAUAGGAAAUAGAAAAAAGUGAGUUUGUUAGGAUUAUAUGUGGAUCAUUAGAAUUUUUAUUUGAUUGUUAAAUUUGUAUGGAUAGAUUAUUAGAAUUUUCAGACGGUUAAGAUUAUAUGAAAUUGUAUGGAUAAAUUAUUAGAAUUUUUAGGUUGUUAAGAUUAUAUAUGAUUUGUUAAAAUUUUUAUGUGGUUGUUAGAAUUAUAUAUGGGAUAUAGAAACAAUAAAUAAGCAAAAGGCGGUGAAUCGUUCACCACCUUUGUGGAAAAUUAGGAAGGCGUAAAGGCGGUGAACGAUUCACCGCCUUCAUA
rnacentral:lncRNA from 1 species